UAUAAUUGAUUCUGUAAUUAGUGUGUGUGUUUGGUGCAUAUGUAUACUUUUUGCUAUGAACCAGGGCACUGGUAACCAUAAUACUUGUAAUUGCUCUUCAGUCACUCAAUUAUAACACCAUAGACAGUGUUACAAAUGGUGAAGAAAGCAAUACAAUUAAUUUUUUUUAAUUUUUAAAUAUUUAUUUUUGAGAGAGAGACAGAAUGCGAGUGUGGGAGGGACAGAGAUGGAGGGAGACACAGAAUCCGAAGUAGUCUCUAGGCUCUGAGCCGGCAGUACGGAGCUUGACAUGGGGCUCAAACCCACGAACUGUGAGAUUAUGACCUGAGCUGAAGUUGGAUGCUCAACUGACUGAGCCACCCAGGCGCCCCCAAUAUAAUUAAUUCUUAAAAUUUUUUUCUAGCAUUUUUCUGUGUGUGUUUAAGGAUCCCUCCCAUGUAAAUACUGUUUUCAUCAUUUUUCUUACAAGGCUAAAUUUCAACAUGUUAUUUUUUAUGGAAAGCCACUGACUUGUUGAUAAAAAUAAAACCUACUUAAUUUAGAA